UGGGGAGGGUGGGGGUAAGACCACUUAAGCAGAUUUACAGCCUGCCGCCUAAAUCGGCCACCUGACC
rnacentral:tRNA from 1 species